UACGUAGGGAGCAAGCGUUGUCCGGAAUCAUUGGGCGUAAAGCGCGCGUAGGUGGCCCCAUAAGUCCGCUGUGAAAGUCAAAGGCUCAACCUUUGAAAGCCGGUGGAUACUGUGGGACUAGAGUACGGAAGAGGCGAGUGGAAUUCCUGGUGUAGCGGUGGAAUGCGCAGAUAUCAGGAGGAACACCAAUAGCGAAGGCAGCUCGCUGGGACGUUACUGACACUGAGGAGCGAAAGCUAGGGGAGCAAACGGG
rnacentral:rRNA from 1 species